GAGAGAGAAUCUACAAGCAGCCC
rnacentral:siRNA from 1 species